rnacentral:rRNA from 1 species
AACGCGAAGAACCUUACCUGGCCUUGACAUCCAGAGAACUUUCCAGAGAUGGAUUGGUGCCUUCGGGAACUCUGAGACAGGUGCUGCAUGGCCGUCGUCAGCUCGUGUCGUGAGAUGUUGGGUUAAGUCCCGUAACGAGCGCAACCCCUAUCCCUGGUUGCUAGCAGGUAAUGCUGAGAACUCCAGGGAGACUGCCGGUGACAAGCCGGAGGAAGGUGGGGAUGACGUCAGGUCAUCAUGGCCCUUACGGCCAGGGCUACACACGUGCUACAAUGGCGCGUACAGAGGGCUGCCAACUCGCGAGAGUGAGCCAAUCCCUUAAAACGCGUCGUAGUCCGGAUCGGAGUCUGCAACUCGACUCCGUGAAGUCGGAAUCGCUAGUAAUCGCGAAUCAGAAUGUCGCGGUGAAUACGUUCCCGGGUCUUUACACACCG